ACUCCUACGGGAGGCAGCAGUGGGAAUAUUGGACAAUGGGGGAACCCUGAUCCAGCCAUGCCGCGUGUGUGAAGAAGGCCUUAUGGUUGUAAAGCACUUUAAGCGAGGAGGAGGCUACUAGUAUUAAUAUACUGGAUAGUGGACGUUACUCGCAGAAUAAGCACCGGCUAACUCUGUGCCAGCAGCCGCGGUAAUACAGAGGGUGCGAGCGUUAAUCGGAUUUACUGGGCGUAAANCGUGCGUAGGCGGCCAUUUAAGUCAAAUGUGAAAU
rnacentral:rRNA from 1 species